CAUUAAGAAGCUAACUAUAUAAGCGUUAACCUUUUAAGUUAAAGAACGGGAGUUCUAAUCUCCCCUUAAUGG
rnacentral:tRNA from 1 species